CCAAGAGKGCAAGAGAUGCGCAAGWCWUAAVUGUUUUGUGUGGCCCGMAMACCCDCGCCUGAGAGACCCAUGUAUUGGAACGGACGAAGUGAGAGNAAUUSAUGGAUGCGAGAGCCCCGGGGAGACCCGAGGCGCAUCGCUGGCCGAGCCGUAUGGUCACUUUGUGGCCGGUUUCGAGUGCGAGCKUAUCUGUUGCGACCCGAAAGAUGKUGAACUAUGCCUGAGGAGGUGAAGCCAGAGGAAAUUYUGGUGGAGGCCCGUAGCGGUUCUGACGUGCAAAUCGAUCGUCGCACUUGGGUAUAGCGGCGAAAGACUGAUCGAACCAUCUAGUAGCUGGUUCCCUCCGAAGUUUCCCUCAGGAUAGCUGGAASUCGUUCCGAGCAGUUUCGUCGGUAAAGCGAAUGAUUAGAGGUAUCGGGGCUGAAAGGGCCUCGCCCUAUUYUCAAACUUUAAAUCGGCGAGAAGGGGUGUCUUGCCUGCCGGAAGACAUCCCUUGAAUGCAGGGGCUCCAAGUGGGCCGUUUUUGGUAAGCAGAACCGGCGAUGCGGGAUGAACCGAACGCUGGGCUAUGGCGCCGGAGUCGACGCUGAGCAGAUACCAGGAAAGGU
rnacentral:rRNA from 1 species